rnacentral:rRNA from 1 species
UACGUAGGUGGUUUGUCGCGUUGUCCGUGAAAACUCACAACUCAAUUGUGGGCGUGCGGGCGAUACGGGCAGACUGGAGUACUGCAGGGGAGACUGGAAUUCCUGGUGUAGCGGUGGAAUGCGCAGAUAUCAGGAGGAACACCGGUGGCGAAGGCGGGUCUCUGGGCAGUAACUGACGCUGAGGAGCGAAAGCGUGGGGAGCGAACAGG